rnacentral:rRNA from 1 species
GACGAACGCUGGCGGCGUGCCUAAUACAUGCAAGUAGAACGCUGAAGAGAGGAGCUUGCUCUUCUUGGAUGAGUUGCGAACGGGUGAGUAACGCGUAGGUAACCUGCCUUGUAGCGGGGGAUAACUAUUGGAAACGAUAGCUAAUACCGCAUAACAAUGGAUGACACAUGUCAUUUAUUUGAAAGGGGCAAUUGCUCCACUACAAGAUGGACCUGCGUUGUAUUAGCUAGUAGGUGAGGUAACGGCUCACCUAGGCGACGAUACAUAGCCGACCUGAGAGGGUGAUCGGCCACACUGGGACUGAGACACGGCCCAGACUCCUACGGGAGGCAGCAGUAGGGAAUCUUCGGCAAUGGGGGCAACCCUGACCGAGCAACGCCGCGUGAGUGAAGAAGGUUUUCGGAUCGUAAAGCUCUGUUGUAAGUCAAGAACGAGUGUGAGAGUGGAAAGUUCACACUGUGACGGUAGCUUACCAGAAAGGGACGGCUAACUACGUGCCAGCAGCCGCGGUAAUACGUAGGUCCCGAGCGUUGUCCGGAUUUAUUGGGCGUAAAGCGAGCGCAGGCGGUUUGAUAAGUCUGAAGUUAAAGGCUGUGGCUCAACCAUAGUUCGCUUUGGAAACUGUCAAACUUGAGUGCAGAAGGGGAGAGUGGAAUUCCAUGUGUAGCGGUGAAAUGCGUAGAUAUAUGGAGGAACACCGGUGGCGAAAGCGGCUCUCUGGUCUGUAACUGACGCUGAGGCUCGAAAGCGUGGGGAGCGAACAGGAUUAGAUACCCUGGUAGUCCACGCCGUAAACGAUGAGUGCUAGGUGUUGGAUCCUUUCCGGGAUUCAGUGCAGCAGCUAACGCAUUAAGCACUCCGCCUGGGGAGUACGACCGCAAGGUUGAAACUCAAAGGAAUUGACGGGGGCCCGCACAAGCGGUGGAGCAUGUGGUUUAAUUCGAAGCAACGCGAAGAACCUUACCAGGUCUUGACAUCCCGAUGCUAUUUCUAGAGAUAGAAAGUUACUUCGGUACAUCGGUGACAGGUGGUGCAUGGUUGUCGUCAGCUCGUGUCGUGAGAUGUUGGGUUAAGUCCCGCAACGAGCGCAACCCCUAUUGUUAGUUGCCAUCAUUCAGUUGGGCACUCUAGCGAGACUGCCGGUAAUAAACCGGAGGAAGGUGGGGAUGACGUCAAAUCAUCAUGCCCCUUAUGACCUGGGCUACACACGUGCUACAAUGGUUGGUACAACGAGUUGCGAGUCGGUGACGGCAAGCUAAUCUCUUAAAGCCAAUCUCAGUUCGGAUUGUAGGCUGCAACUCGCCUACAUGAAGUCGGAAUCGCUAGUAAUCGCGGAUCAGCACGCCGCGGUGAAUACGUUCCCGGGCC